rnacentral:rRNA from 1 species
AUUUUGCGAUCAAGCUACUAAGGGCUUAUGGUGAAUGCCUUGGUGCCAGGAGGCGAUGAAGGACGUAGCAAGUUGCGAUAAGCCACGGGGAGCCGCAAGCAGGCUUUGAUCCGUGGAUUUCCGAAUGGGGCAACCCGGCCGCCGUAAUAGGUGGCCAUCGACCGGAUGAAUUCAUAGUCCGGCGAGGCAAAACCCGCUGAAGUGAAACAUCUCAGUAAGCGGAGGAAAAGAAAGCGAUGCGAUUCCGUAAGUAGUGGCGAGCGAAAGCGGAACAGCCCAAACCGGGGGGACUUGUCUCUCCGGGGUAGCGGGACCCUGUCGUGGGACCUUCGAAACGAGCUCAACCAUCUGGAAAGAUGGGCCAUAGACCGUGAUAGCCGGGUGAGCGAAGGGGAGAAGGCCCUAGGGGUAUCCCAAGUAGCACGGUGCACGUGAAACUCUGUGCGAAUCUGUCCGGACCACCGGAUAAGGCUAAAUACUACCUGGCAACCGAUAGUGAACUAGUACCGCGAGGGAAAGGUGAAAAGAACCCCUGUUAGGGGAGUGAAAUAGUACCUGCAACCAUAUGCCUACAAUGUGUGGGAGUCCUGCGCAAGCGGGAUGACCGCCUGCCUUUUGCAUAAUGAGUCUGCGAGUUGUUGUCCGCAGCAAGCCUAAGCGGUUCUGCCGCGCAGGCGAAGGGAAACCGAGUACGAAUGGUGCGAACAGUUGCGGGCAAUAGACCCGAAGCGGAGGUGAUCUACUCUUGAGCAGGUUGAAGCCCGGGUAACACCGGGUGGAGGACCGAACUCGUGGAUGUUGAAAAAUCCUGAGAUGA